rnacentral:tRNA from 3 species
CCGGAAUAGCUCAGUUGGUAGAGCAGAGGACUGAAAAUCCUCGU